AACGCACGAGACCUGCGGACCUGCGGAAGGAUCAUUAUAGAGUUUUCUAACUCCCAAACCCAUGUGAACUUACCUUUGUUGCCUCGGCGGAGCCUACCCGGUACCUACCCUGUAGCGCCCCGCCGGUGGACUUCUAAACUAUUGUUAUUUUAAUGAUAUCUGAGAGUCUUAUUUUAAUAAGUCAAAACUUUCAACAAUGGAUCUCU
rnacentral:misc_RNA from 1 species